rnacentral:rRNA from 1 species
ACCUCGGAUAGUAUGAUGCCA